rnacentral:rRNA from 1 species
GAUGAACGCUAGCUACAGGCUUAACACAUGCAAGUCGAGGGGCAUCAGGAAGAAAGCUUGCUUUCUUUGCUGGCGACCGGCGCACGGGUGAGUAACACGUAUCCAACCUGCCCUUUACUCGGGGAUAGCCUUUCGAAAGAAAGAUUAAUACCCGAUAGUAUAAUGAUUCCGCAUGGUUUCAUUAUUAAAGGAUUCCGGUAAAGGAUGGGGAUGCGUUCCAUUAGGUUGUUGGUGAGGUAACGGCCCACCAAGCCUUCGAUGGAUAGGGGUUCUGAGAGGAAGGUCCCCCACAUUGGAACUGAGACACGGUCCAAACUCCUACGGGAGGCAGCAGUGAGGAAUAUUGGUCAAUGGGCGCUAGCCUGAACCAGCCAAGUAGCGUGAAGGAUGAAGGCUCUAUGGGUCGUAAACUUCUUUUAUAUAAGAAUAAAGUGCAGUAUGUAUACUGUUUUGUAUGUAUUAUAUGAAUAAGGAUCGGCUAACCCCGUGCCAGCAGCCGCGGUAAUACGGAGGAUCCGAGCGUUAUCCGGAUUUAUUGGGUUUAAAGGGAGCGUAGGUGGACUGGUAAGUCAGUUGUGAAAGUUUGCGGCUCAACCGUAAAAUUGCAGUUGAUACUGUCAGUCUUGAGUACAGUAGAGGUGGGCGGAAUUCGUGGUGUAGCGGUGAAAUGCUUAGAUAUCACGAAGAACUCCGAUUGCGAAGGCAGCUCACUGGACUGCAACUGACACUGAUGCUCGAAAGUGUGGGUAUCAAACAGGAUUAGAUACCCUGGUAGUCCACACAGUAAACGAUGAAUACUCGCUGUUUGCGAUAUACAGUAAGCGGCCAAGCGAAAGCAUUAAGUAUUCCACCUGGGGAGUACGCCGGCAACGGUGAAACUCAAAGGAAUUGACGGGGGCCCGCACAAGCGGAGGAACAUGUGGUUUAAUUCGAUGAUACGCGAGGAACCUUACCCGGGCUUAAAUUGCAGUGGAAUGAUGUGGAAACAUGUCAGUGAGCAAUCACCGCUGUGAAGGUGCUGCAUGGUUGUCGUCAGCUCGUGCCGUGAGGUGUCGGCUUAAGUGCCAUAACGAGCGCAACCCUUAUCUUCAGUUACUAACAGGUCAUGCUGAGGACUCUGGAGAGACUGCCGUCGUAAGAUGUGAGGAAGGUGGGGAUGACGUCAAAUCAGCACGGCCCUUACGUCCGGGGCUACACACGUGUUACAAUGGGGGGUACAGAAGGCAGCUAGCGGGUGACCGUAUGCUAAUCCCAAAAUCCUCUCUCAGUUCGGAUCGAAGUCUGCAACCCGACUUCGUGAAGCUGGAUUCGCUAGUAAUCGCGCAUCAGCCACGGCGCGGUGAAUACGUUCCCGGGCCU